rnacentral:rRNA from 1 species
AUGCCUCGUUCGCGACCUCCAG